rnacentral:rRNA from 1 species
GACGAACGCUGGCGGCGUGCUUAACACAUGCAAGUCGAACGGACAGGCCCUGCUUUUGUGGGGUGCUCGAGUGGCGAACGGGUGAGUAACACGUGAGUAACCUGCCCUUGACUUUGGGAUAACUUCAGGAAACUGCGGCUAAUACCGGAUAGGAGCUCCUGCUGCAUGGUGGGGGUUGGAAAGUUUCGGCGGUGGGGGAUGGACUAGCGGCUUAUCAGCUUGAUGGGGGGGUAGUGGCUUACCAAGGCUUUGACGGGUAGCCGGCCUGGGAGGGUGACCGGCCACAAUGGGCCUGAGAGACGGCGCAGACGCCUACGGGAGGCAGCAGUGGAGAGUAUGGCGGAAUGGGCGGAAGCCUGAUGCAGCAGCGCCGCGUGCGGGAUGACGUCCUUCGGGUGGUGAACCGCUGUCGCCUGUGACGAAGCGUGAGUGACGGUAAUGGGUAAAGAAGCACCGGCUAACUACGUG